AAUAAAUUUUCAACGUGAUUACCAAAAAAAUCGGUAUCAGGCUAGGAAUUUUAAAUAAGAAGACAGACUCAAUGCCCUUGGGAUCCGAACUCUUUGUCCCAUUCUGAAUAUCGUUCCAGCCCUUGCAAGUUCACACUAGGCCGGAUUACCUUGAUACUAGUUUUAAAGUCAUCUAAAUUAAUCGGCCUAAUCGACUCCAUUUUCGUGAAUAGCAAAGACUCACCUAAACUUCGCAAAGGCCCCAUAGCUGCGUCUUUUGCCAAUGCUGUCAAAUCAGAGCCAGAGUAAUAUUCGGUUGCUUUCACAAUAGCCUCAAUAUCCUCUAAGGAAAGAGAAUGCUUCUGAUAUUUUAAAAGGUUAUUUAAAUGUAAGCGACGAGUGGUCUCAUCAGGGAGGGGAAUGUAGGUACGACGGACAAAUCGUCUACGAGCAGCAUCGUCGAUACACCAAGGCAAAUUGGUAGCGGCAAGCACUAGAACUCUUGGGUGAUCGGCGGUUUGUCGAGAUGCAGCUGCUCUUGCAAGCGAAGACCACUGAAUUAAGAAUUCUGUUUUUAUUCUUCUCGAUGUU